GCCUUCGGCUGGGCUUGGUGGCACGUGCCUUUAAUUCUAGCACUUUGGGAGGCCUCACAGGAGGAUCAAUUAAGGAUAGCCUGGGCAACAUAGCAAGACUGUCUCAAAAAAAAAAAAAAAAAAAAAGACUGGCAUUUGGCUGAGAAUGGCAAUGGUAAUGGCGUCCCAAAUCCAGGCCCCAGCCCUUCAGCCCCACUCUUCUUGCCUUUGGCCGAGGUACUUUAUCCAGCCUCUACCCCACCUUCCCUCAGUAAACCCAGGGUCCCUGGUCCUGCCCCUCAGGGCCUAUAAGCCACUGGGACCCUCUGCCUGGCUUCUCCCUUGAAGACGGUGCUGCCUGAGUUGAGGCCUGACUUGGCAUAACUUGGAAACUUGCUGGUCAGAGGGUGGCACCCUGUAUGCCCCUCCCUUCCAGCCUGGUCAGUGAUCCCUACUCCAGGCUGUUUGAGACCCAGGCCACACUAUCAUGUAUCCAGUGAACUCUUCCCCCGCCGGGAACUGGUGACUCAUCACUGAAGACUUGUGACAAAGAGCAGCUCCACACCUGUGCACACUUGGGGCAGGCGUGUUUCCAGAGGCCCAGAGGGACAGCGAGAGCGUGAGCAGCAACACUGUGCCAAGCAGGAAGGUGUCCAAGUGACACCCAGGACAACUGGAAGAAGCCCUCGGUGAUCACAGAAAUGGGGAGAGGCUCUGAGCCAGAUGCUGGAAGGGAUGCACACUGCCUUGCUUCCUCUAACUCUCCCUGACAUAGUUCCUGAUCCACCCAACAUCCUGCCUCUGAGGCUGCACCGUCUUGCACGGCUUCUGCCAGUGGAGUGCUGGUAAACAUUUAAUAACCGGCUCUUGGGGGUGGGGGCUAAAGCUCUGGUUUGUGGUGCUUGCCAAUUUCUGUGGUGUAAAUACCCCCACCAUGGCCAGUUUCAAGCUACCAAAAUGAUGUCACUGAACACAGAGCUGGGAAGAGAUGUCCAGCAGCCUUUGUUAAUUCUGUCAUAUUUCCACCAUACAGAUGCAACAGAUGUGAAUAACCUCCAGGACUGAGGACAGUGGAUGCAGGAAAAUCCUUAGGAAAGGAUGUUUUGAAAACCUGCCUGAUGUUUCAACCUGGGGCUGGUGCUCCGGCCUGGACCAUGCCAUCCGAAAAGGCCAGAAAUUCUCCCUAGAAGAUGGAUGGCAACUUGAAAGCCAGUGGGACCAUGUCUCCACAUCUGACACACUGCAGCCCCAAAGAAUAUAUUUGUUCAAUUGAAUCUAAAUGGAGAGGGUAUACCACAAUGGAAAAACAGCCCUAAAAGAUUUGGUCCUGCAAAGCUCUGAACAGCAUCUAUGUGGUAGCUUGCAGCAGUAUUGCCUCUGGUUCAUUCGGGGUCCCUGUAUCCACAUCCUUUCACACAGACUUGGGCCUUGGCCAUGUGGUCUGCUUUGGACAAUGGGAGAAUAGUGAACGUGAUAUGAGACUUGGGCUUGAUUUCUCUAACUGCCAUGGGAGCCCCGAGGCCACCAUGUGAACAAGCCUAAGCCAGAGGAGAACCAAGGGCUCAGCCAACAGCCAACUACCAGACAUGAGCGAAGCCCCUGACUGCCCUCUGACCAUAAGACAUAGUUGAGUUCAGCCAAGCCCAGCAGAAGAAUCGCCUGUCCGUGCCCAGCCCCCAUCACUGAUCCAAAUCAUUAUAAAGCUAAUACAUUUGUUGGUUUAAGCCACUAAGUUUCAGAGGUAGUUUGUUAAUAUGCAAAAGCUAACCUAAUCACUUCUUAGAACAGCACACCCCAAAUAGUAUCUGGAGAGAUAAAGCUAGGCAAACAGGCACACCACCAGCCCCAGGCUGUGCUAUCAGGCACUGUGGGAGGGACAGGAGGAUCCCCCAGAUUCUAGGCCAGGAGAGAGGGGUGAGGUAUUCACCUUGCAUACAAAAUUUAAAGGGCUACCCCAAAACUCAGUAAUGAAGACACAUGAUGUAAUAUUUUAAUGUAAUAUUUAAAAAAAAUCAAAUUGGUAUCUCUGGUCCACGUCCCAG
rnacentral:lncRNA from 10 species